CUAAAAUUGUAUAUAUUGAAUCUUUCGCUACAAAUUUGCAUCUACUGCAUGCAGGAUCGCCGAGAGAGAGGCAGAGCGGAACUUUAUCUCGGGCGGGGCUCGCAGAACAAGGAACCCUUAAAAUUUAUUGAUGCAAGAUUGAUGAACUCAGAAUAUAAAUCCCAGGACCCAUAUGAAUAAUACAUCUAAAAAUCUCAAAAAUGUAAGAAAAUUGUCGGCAAAAUAUAAACGAUUUAUGUCCGCAAAUGUUUUCCGGCACCAAAUGAACCUCGAAAUGAACCAUUUGUCCGGUGCCAUAUGUAGUGAAAAAUUCUUGAUCAAGAUUAUACGUAUAGUGUAAUUUACAGCAUGAGCUCCACAUUUGAAUUUACUAGCUAUAUGAGUAAAUUGUUAAACGCGUCCGAAUUUAUCAACAUGAUAAAUGCCAAAUUCGCUGCACCUAACCCUUAACCUUAAUUUUGUGUUACACAGCUUCGAUCAAGUUGUAUAUACACAUUAUCAGUAACCUUGCUCGCUCAUUCAAGUGCUACAGUAUGUAUAUCUAUAAUGAAAAAAAUUAAUCAAACAAUCAAAAAAAUAAAAAAAUCAAAAAAUCAAAAAAUCAAAAAUCAAAAAAUCAAAAAAUUAAAAAUCAAAAAAUCAAAAAAUCAAAAAAUCAAAAAAUCAAAAAUCAAAAAAUAAAAAAAUAAAAAAAUACAAAAAUCAAAAAAUAAAAAAAUAAAAAAAUCAAAAAAUCAAAAAAUCAAAAAAUACAAAAAUCAAAAAAUACAAAAACUGUUUAUGUGCUGUCGCGUCUGGGCCACCGUACGUAAUGCAUAAGAUCAAUUUAUAUAUUGCGUAGAUUUUCAAAGAUUUACUCAAUAUUCCCGUCUGAAAUGCUUAUACAUCUGAAAACAACACUGUCACUCCUUCCUAGCAUAUCGUCACGCCAUCGUGAUUUACGGCUUGAUAGCGCAUGCGCAUUUGCGCUACUAAAGAAAAAAUCGGGUGUUCCGGGGUAAAGAUCCUUUACACAACAUGAGAAGCGAAUGUUCUAAAAUUUACAAAAAAUUACAAUAACGAAAGCGAUUCCUCGAAAUUUUUGUGAACUUGGCAAAAGGAUAACAUAAUAUGUAAAUAAGUUAACUGAAAUUGCCUAAACAACCUUCAAAGUUCUGACUAAGUACAAUAAAUCACUGAGAACAUAAAUCGUAUACACCCCCCGGAAAGUUUACUCUAUGAACUAGAAGUUACUAACGCAAGGAAAUGCUGCCUCACGGCCAAAACUUUGAGUUAGGUUGUUCAAACUCUGUUUAUAAUCCGUGGAUCAUACAAAGCUAAAUAACACUAUAAUGGAAACAUAACACUACAAUUAUAGUUUUUAAACAAUAAAAAUCGUAUUUUAUUGUAUUGUAAGAAUCGCGUGCAUAUAUGUUACAACAAUAUUCUAAUUAUCUAAAAUUAAGAAAACAGUUCUCUGUAAUGAAACAGGUCAUUUUCUGAGCACUCCAAACGAUAGUAUCUCAUAAAAAUGAACAAAUUAUGGGUCAUUCCACGGCUUAUUUCUCCGACAAUAUAUCUAUAAUGUGACCCGCAGGGCUACCUCCACACAUUUAGCUAUUAUGCGAUUGUCACUAAGGUUAAUGUCACUAAUAUUCUUAGACACAAAGUCAAGCGUGGUCACCUCUAGAGUA
rnacentral:lncRNA from 1 species